ACUCCUACGGGAGGCAGCAGUGGGGAAUAUUGCACAAUGGGGGAAACCCGUGAUGCAGCCAUGCCGCGUGUGUGAAGAAGGCCUUCGGUUGUAAAGCACUUUCAGUAGGGAGGAAGGUAGUGUAGUUAACACCUGCAUUAUUUGUACGUUACCUACAGAAGAAGCACCGGCUAACUCCGUGCCAGCAGCCGCGGUAAUACGGAGGGUGCGAGCGUUAAUCGGAAUUACUGGGCGUAAAGCGCAUGCAGGCGGCUUGUUAAGUCAGAUGUGAAAGCCCGGGGCUUAACCUCGGAAUUGCAUUUGAAACUGGCAGGCUAGAGUCUUGUAGAGGGGGUUAGGAAUUUCAGGUGUAGCGGUGAAAUGCGUAGAGAUCUGAAGG
rnacentral:rRNA from 1 species